rnacentral:rRNA from 1 species
AGCGAACGCUGGCGGUAGGCCUAACACAUGCAAGUCGAACGGCAGCACAGUAAGAGCUUGCUCUUACGGGUGGCGCGUGGCGGACGGGUGAGGAAUACAUCGGAAUCUACUUUUUCGUGGGGGAUAACGUAGGGAAACUUACGCUAAUACCGCAUACGACCUACGGGUGAAAGCAGGGGAUCUUCGGACCUUGCGCGAUUGAAUGAGCCGAUGUCGGAUUAGCUAGUUGGCGGGGUAAAGGCCCACCAAGGCGACGAUCCGUAGCUGGUCUGAGAGGAUGAUCAGCCACACUGGAACUGAGACACGGUCCAGACUCCUACGGGAGGCAGCUGUGGGGAAUAUUGGACAAUGGGGGCAAGCCUGAUCCAGCCAUACCGCGUGGGUGAAGAAGGCCUUCGGGUUGUAAAGCCCUUUUGUUGGGAAAGAAAAGCAGCAGGUUAAUACCCCGCUGUUCUGACGGUACCCAAAGAAUAAGCACCGGCUAACUUCGUG